CACUCAAAUGCUUUUAUUUUUCCCCUUCUCCUCGGAGGAGAAGAGAAGAGAGAAAAGAAUCACAUUAUCUCUCCUCUACCCACAUUACCCAAAACAAACUCAAAGCUAAAUCCACGUCAUCAUCUUCUUCUCCUCAACCCUCUCUCCCCCACCAUUGCCGAAACCUCCUCUGCAUUUUCUCUUCACGCAUUCUCUCUUCACGCAUUCUCUCCGAUCACCUCCGUUCCCAAUUCAAUCCAAUUCCACGAUUCCACUUUCUUCUAGGGUUUUCCCCGCUUUCUCCCUGAGGUUUACCGUGUUUUUCACUCUCAAUGACACGCUCUACUGGAAGCGGUAGAAUGGAUGCUAUGCCGAGGCCUAUGGUCGCUGGAUGUUUCUCUCAAACUGUAGCAGAAGAUGACAAUGCUCGGCAGAAAUCAGCUGCUGCGUAUAUCUAUAGACAACUGCGUGAUGCAGAUGAAGCAAAUUUGCUUAGCGAAGAAGAUAUGCAUGUUUAUGGUGAGAGACCCAUGACUGAUCCCUUGAAGCUGGUGCGAUGCAACACUUGCAAGAAACCAGUCAAGGACAGCCAAUUUGCCGCUCAUGCAGAACUUUGUAGAUCAUUAAAGCUCACAGAACAAACUGGGUUGGAGCUUAAUGGCAACACAAGGAAUCGAAAACCUCCAAGGAAUGAUAAGAAAAGGUUAUCAGCUUCUUCUGCAGUUGGGAAGCGGAGAAAGUCUGAGGCGUUGGAUAACACUGACACUGUUGUGUCACAAUCCCACUUGAACAGUCAAAUUAGAGGGACUUCCUUUUCAAAUGAUGUUAAAGUUGGGAAGCGGAGAAAGUCUGAGGCGUUGGAUAACACUGACACUGUUGUGUCACAAUCCCACUUGAACAGUCAAAUUAGAGGGACUUCCUUUUCAAAUGAUGUUAAAGAUGUGGCGCCAACAUCUUUGUUGGAUGAUACUGGAGUUAGUCAUGGAAAUAGAGUUCUCCAAGCUUCAGUAAUGUAUCCUCCCGCAAAACAUCAUAAGUUGACGACAGGCACACGUACAGCUGUAAUAGAUGAGCAUGGAACAGAGUCUGGAGUGUCAAAAGCUGCAAAUUUAACAAAUGGAACGACUAAUGCGGCGCCGGCAUCUAUGUUGGAUGAUACUGGAGUUAAUAGUGGGAAUAGAGUUCUCCAAGCUUCAGUAAUAUAUCCUCCAACAAAACGUCAUAAAUUGAUGCCAAGCACACAUAUAGCUGUAAUAGAAGAGCAUGGAACAGAGUCUGGAGUGUCAAAAGCUGUGAGUUUAGUAAAUGGAACCACUCGGAAAGAUACGACUGAAGAGAUUGUAUCAGAACAUGGAGAUCCUUUCCAUAAAAAUGUUCAGCAGGUCCAUAUGCAACACCAACACAUGAUGAAUAAUGAUUUUCCCGCACCCCUUGCCACGAAGAUAUAUUAUUCUCAAAGGACCAAUCGACUGCGUGCCGCUAUUCGUCAUAUGUACUUCGAGAAUUUGAGCGAGGAAGUAUGUGCUGAUGUUGAGUGUCCAAAGACAUCACAUGGAGAGAUGGUUGCACUGCAAGGUUCGUCUCAGGUGGACCCUUCAUUUGAGCAAAUUGACAAUAUGGUCAACAACGAGAGCCACUCGGGAAUGAUGCACACCAAAAGUUCUGAUGAUAUUCUGGCAAAAAGCUCAGAAGUUUGCUUGCUUAAAGCAGGAGGCGUGCCUAGUGAUGGCUUGCCAAAUCAGUUUUUUCUUGACAACGUUUCAAGGUCUGCAGCUACUCAUGUUGGUUUAACUAGAGGCAGUUUUCUUCCAAAGAAUUAUUCUUUUCCAAGCAACACAGGUAAAUGAUAUGGAUGCAUUUGUGGGAAAACAGUAUCAGUGAAGGAAGAUCUCUAAUUCUUCUGAUUAGAAUUAGUUAUGCAGAUUAGGACUUAUUAUUUUAUUUAUAUUUAUUUUUUAAUAAGUUAGCAUAACCCAAUUUUUAGAUUUGAAUUGCAGUAUUUUUAGGAUAAGAUUUAAGAUUAUAACAGAUUUUUUCUAUUAAAUAGGGUAUUAAUAUCAUUUAAAUUUAAAUGAUAGUAAUUUUAUGGAAAAGUUAGUUAUUAACUUAAUAAUAAGAACUCAUUUUCUACCGCAAGCCUAUUAAAAGGCAUUCAGAAAAGGAAUAUCUCUAGUUAGCUGAUUAGGAUUAGUUAUGCCGAUUAGAAUUUAUUAUUUUAUUUAUUUUUAAUAAGUUAGGCUAACAAAAUUUUUGAAUUUGAAUUUCAGAAUUUUUAGGAUAAGAUUUAGGGUUAGAAUAGAUUUUUCCUAUUAAAUAGGAAAAAGUGGAUUAUUAACCUAAUAAAUCAGACUCUUUUUCUACUAUAAGCCUGCCUAUUUAAAGGCAUUUAAAUUGUAUUACCAAAAAAAAAGGCAUUUAAAUUAGGAAUAAAAUUCAUCAAUAAUUAUUAUUAAAAAACUUGCGAAUUCAAGAAGAGACUCUCUUAAGGAGGAGUUCACUUCUGCCUUUCUCAUAAGUUGAAGAAAAGGUUCUACUAUGUCUAGGACUGAGUCAAUGCGAACGGUAAACCAAAGACCAUAACAAUUUUGUAUUACGAGCCAACUUGGCGACGUGAAUUUAACAUCAAUCAUGAAGACUUUCAUUGAACAAAUGAAGGCCAUACAAUCUUUUCUAGAAGAGCAAAUAGCUAACCUCUCCAGGAUACUUCAAGGAGUGAAUAAACGUUCCAGAAAAAACAAUUCUAGAUAUGCAAGAAGUAGUAGUGGCAACAAUAAUAGUCAGGAAGAUGAAAACAACUCGAAGAUGAGGGGAGACUUGAUUCCCCGGAAUUUCAAAAUGGAAUUUCCCAUUUAUGAUGGAACAUGCAAUGUAGUUAAAAUCAAGAUUUUACGCAAAAUUGGAAAAGGGAAGUACUAUCGUAAAUUGUGGAAUAGUAACACUAAUUGUAAUAUUAUACAAAAUUCUAAAACUAUAUAUGCAUAUAAAAUGACAUUAGUAAGAGAAAAAAACCUUAAAUCAUUUGAAAUACUUGUGUAAAUUUAAAUUCAUAACUCACAAGAUAAUUAAAAUCUUAAAUUACACUUCAAGUAUUUAUAUAAAUUUAAAUCCAUUUAUAAGCAUGAUCGCAUCAACAUUUCAAAGAUCGUAAGAUUACACGUUUCAAAGAUUAACAAGAGGUAGGGUUGGUAAUGAGUUAACUUCGGCUCAACUCAAUAAGAAUUUGAUUUACUCGAAAGUUGAAUUCGUCACAUACUUUUUUCAAAUGCAAACUCGACUUGAAUAAAGUUCACGAAUAACUCGGUUCUGUUCAUUAGCUCGAACUCGGUCCGACUCGACUUGAUAACUCAGAUUAAAUAGACCAAAAAAAUUAAUUGAAAAAAAAACAAAAUUUAACUAAAGGCCAUAUAAUUUAUAUUUGACUUGAUUGCCAAUUUUUCUUUAACAAAGAUAACUUCCCAAAAUUCUUGGAUGCAUCUCAUAAGUGUUGGAGCACUCUAAUAUAUAUGAGAAGAGGAGAGUAUAAGAAAGUAUAGCUGGUUCAUGAACCAAAAUAGUUUAACUAUAUAUAGUUGAACAACUCGUUUAUCUUACAAACUUAUUUUUCAACUCAAGUUCUACUCAUUUGGUUCAUGAAACAAGUUCUACGAUUUAGUUAUCAAAUCGAGUCUCAAACUAUUUUCGCAUUGGUUAGGUUCAUUCCAGUCUAACGGGAGAAAUUCUACUUGAUUCUACUAGAUUAGGAUUGCGUAUACUCAUAAUCUGUGAGGGUAAUCAUAAUCGCAAAAUUAUGUGAUUUUACCAUGAGAACAAGGGACUCAUUGGGGUGGCUGAGUCGCCGAGACAAAUUUUAUGUAAAUGAAGGAUUGCUGAAAGAGACAAAGUUGGUUUGGUUAGAUCAAAUGGAAGAAGAACCUGAAACAAUGUGGGAACACUUUAAGGAAUGUUGCCAUAUACGGUUUGGACCACCAAUGAGCAAUAAUCCAUUGAGAGAACUUGCCAACCUUGAGCAAACUAAAUCAAUGGAUGAUUGUCAACGCCUGUUUCAAUCCUUGUUAGAACCCAUGAUCUUAAGCUUAGACAAGUUGACUUAUUUAUUGAUGGGCUAUUCGAUGAACUGAGGAUAGACAUUGAACUUCAACAAUCAGAAAAUCUAGGAAUCAGAAAAUCUAGGAGUUGCUAUGGAUAUGGCUCGAGCAUUUACAAACUGAAAUGCUCACAAGGAAUGCUUACAACACAUGAUAAUAUGAGUAGAACCUUCAACAAUGGUUUUGUCAUCCUAUCCCAAACCACUAUUUGCAGUAGAUUAAAUAGAGGAAUUAGAUAAUUGUUAGUCCCAUGAGAAGGAUAUAAUCCAGAAGAUGCAAUGUGAGAACCUUUUGAUAAGUUUUGCAAAGCUUAUUCCAAAUUUGAGCUUGAGACACGCUCAACGCCGAAAAAGGAAGUCAUGACAUAUAUACAUUUAUGGGAAAGCAGUAUCAGAAAAGGAAGAUCUCUAAUUCUGCUUAUUAGUAUAGUUAUGAUGAUUAUAAUUUAUUAUUUUAUUUAUUUUUAAUUAGUUAGUAUAACAUAAUUUUUAAUUUAUAGUUUGAGUAUUUAUAGGAUAAGAUAUAGGGUUAGAACGAUUUUUUCUAUUAAACAAGAUAUUAUCAUUUAAAUUAGAUGAUAGUAAUUUUAGAGAAAAUUUAUAAAUUAACCUAACAAUCCGGACUCUUUCUCCUAGAAGCUUAUUUUAAGGCAAGGUUGAGAAUAAAAAUCAUCAAUAAUUAUUAUUAAAAACUUGUGAGUUUAAGAAGAGAAUAUGUCAAGGACGAGUCCGCUUCUGCUUUUACCAUAGGUUGAAGGAAAUGUACUACUGUGUCUAAGACUGUGUCUACGCGAUCCCAGGCUAGAGACUGAAAUCGCCUGGAAACCCUGCAACAACCAAAUGGGAGUGUUCCUGUUAUAUAGUAUCCUCGGUUGGAAAAUUUUGGAUAGGUGAAUGUACAGGUAACCAGUACAUUGAGGUUAGGAUUUAGGUCCUUUUUUGAAGCCUUAAAAUCACAUUACUCAAAUUGUUUAUCCUAGUCGUACAAUUUGUAAAUGAAAACUUCCAUUAUAUACCGUAUGGAAAUGAAGGAAAAUUUCAGUCUCUGUUCGAAUUUCAUCUUUUUAUUGCUAUCUCCGGCAAGCAAGGGCACUGUAUCUUCUCUUGUCAAUAUUAAGAUUUACUAGAAUAGCUGAUAGUGAAGGAUAUAGAGUUUUGGGUUCAGUUGUCAAUAUGAUCAAAGUUAUUGAUAGAGUUGGAUUAAUUCAUACUUGUAAAUUUGUAUCUCUAGUUCUUUUACAAUGUAUUCUUAAGAUAACCUACAUUAUGUGAUUUAACCCAGGGUCUCAGGAUUACUAAAUACUAUGUUAGUUCUAUUACAAAUUAUAUGUUGCCUUUUCUAAGAUUCUGAAAAUCAUAUCCCAAGUACACAGUCGAGCAGGAUCUCUCUCUCAACAUAUGUGUGUCCUUUUGAGGUUGGGGACAGGUAUGGAUAUGUUAAAAAAUGCAGAUUAUUGUUUGUAAAUGCAGAUUAUCCACAUCUAGUAAAGAAUAUGUUACAUAUAGUUAGAUCCUAACCUUAUUUUAAGUGCUUAAUUUAGCUGUUUAACAAUCAUUUUAUCAGCUUCAAAAGUACUUGCCGUUAGGUCUUGCUCAUUUACUAACCGAUAAACACUUUAAUUGAAAACUUAUUUAUCAUUAACACUAAUUUGUUUUGAUAGACUGUAGAUAUUUUAAUUAAUUGUCUACUGUUUAUUGAAUAUGUACGUACAGUAUUAUAUAAGCACCCAUGUUGAAUCAUGUUAUUUUCUAUAGUAAAGAGAGAAUGUGGUGAAACUGAUUUCUAUUACUUAUCACAUUUUCUGUUAUUUUCAUUAGAAAACUAUUUUUUUAUAAGUUCUUCUAAACAUCAUAACUAUUUAUGUGUUAACGAAGUUGAUUAACACAAAAGGUCGUGAGUUCAAUUCUUUGCGUUUGCUACGAGAACUUUUGGUAGAUAAUCUAUAUUCUUUUUUUUUUUUUGAUAUUUAAUCUAUAUUCUAUAUAGAUGGUUCUAUAAGUGUUUAUUGAAUUUUGAGGGCUACCCGACUAAUGAGUAUUUAUGUUGAAAACAUACUCUUAAAUGCUUUGAAUAUCUUCAAUAAUUUCAUCACCUAAUAAUCAUGUUUGGAUGUAUGUGGGGAAUUAGUGCUCCAAUUCAAUUUGUAAUCAUGUUUUUUUCCACUUUUUAAAAUUUGGGAAAGGGUGUUUGGUAUGGUAGUUGUCAAGAACAAUUAUAAUAUCAUUGUUUUGUUAGUGGCCCUGAGCAUGUGUGAUACUAACAAUGGUCAAGGAUAGCUUUUUGUCUCUUGCGGGGGGAAAUUUGGUGAUAUUUGUUCAGUGACUUUUUUAGCAUCUGAACGGCUAAAGCAGUUUAUUCCUUUAUUCCAUAUGAAAUAAAAAAAAUACCAAUAACUAUGCGUCAUACUCAAACGUGAUGACACUGGAAAAAUUGCUAUGGGCUUUUGAUAUAAAAAUAUCUUCGCUCCCACGAAAGAUAUUUGUUUUUUUUAAUGAUGAGAUUACGAAAGAUAUUUGUUUAUUGGAGAAUUAAAAAGUGCUAUUUGUUUAUUGGAAUUAAAAGGUAUAAACUAUCGUGAUAAAAAUCUACCACUACUUUCUUAUAAUAAUAACUCACACUUUUGUAUAAUUAUUUUGAAAAUGAAAGUGUAACAUGCUAUGCUAUGAUGCAUAGGUAUGAUUAAGGAACUCGGAACAAGUACUCUUAUGGUUAUGGAACCUGUCCUGUAUAGGUCUGUUUUACAAAAGUUCCCGAAAAAAUGAGUGGUGCAAGACAAGUAUAGUUGAGCGUGCAUGUCAAAAAUCUUGAUUUGUCAUGUAAAAAAAUGAGGCUAGAAAGAGGUGGAGGCUGCAUGCCCUGCAUUUCUUUCUUUGCCUAAAAUUCUAAAAAAAAUUAGUCUAAACAAAGGCGGGUGUCAUCUUUAGUUAUAAAGGAGUGUGGACUUCAAAUUUUGGUAUGCCACAAAAAAAAAACAGUCAAACAGAUUGUUUGGCGGAUUGAGCCCGUCAUGUCAUCUUUAGUUAUAUGUUUGACAGAUUGGAUCCAUUUUGUCACUCUAUUUAUCAUAUUAAAUAUUUUUUUUAAAAAGCAUGAAUACAUUAA